GCAAACUUGGUCAUUUAGAGGAAGUACAAGUCGUAACAAGGUAUCCGUAGGUGAACCUGCGGAUGGAUCAUUGAAGGAUUUUGGUUUUUUUGUGGGGUGUGGAAAUGGUUGUGGUUGGGUGUGGGUGUUUGACUAGUUGGAGGUUGGAGGGACAUCUGCGGUUUGAGGCACUUUGGCACUGUUGAAGUUACUCUGCACUGUUAGAGCUCCUCUGCACUGUUGGAGUCCUUCUCCUAAAAACUCUUCAAGUCUUCCGCCCUGCCGUAUUGCUUGUCUUCAAUACUGACUUGAUAUCAAUCAAUUACAACUUUUAGCAACGGAUCUCUUGGCUCUCGCAUCGAUGAAGAACGCAGC
rnacentral:misc_RNA from 1 species